AUGAGAGGAAAACGAAGGAGUACACACACACACACACACACGCGCACGCACGCCCGUCCUGAUUAUCGCAGUGGAAAACAUACACACGCCCACACAGCCGGUCCGACAGGAAACAGUGCUGCUUGGAACAAACAGGCACUUCCUGUGUGUCCUAUGGCCUGUUCACAGAGACGGCCCAAUCAAAAUCCAAUGUCCUGUCCACUGCAUCAUUAUCCACAUCAUUCAGGGGACAUUACUGCUCAUUUACUAAUAGCCUCGGGGCCUUAUUUAUGCUUACAGACCCACGUUUGGACAUGUUUCUGUAUGCGGAAGUCCGCUCGGCCGUUAGAAAUUGGCCACUAAUUGAAAUACAUUAGGCCUAAAUGGCCUCUUUUUUUUCCCUUUCACCCUUCACGUUGACAGACGACCCAAUAUUUAAGUUUGUCUCGCUAAUUUGUUGUAGAAAUACCAAUGCAGCAAGGCAAUGUGGCUCUAGGGGCUGCAGGGCCGUUGGUUUACAGUACCAUUACAUUGAGAGAUGGCAGGAACAGAACGGCCAUUAUGUUCCCAGUUCACAGUGCGGUCACCGCUGGACUCCAUAGGAGCUGAUGAUGGCCGGCCAUCUACGAGGCGUCUGUAUUAACAGCAAUAACUUUAGUCUCCCCUAAAUGCAAAAGGGUCUACUGCCCAGAGAGAGACGCGACAUGAGGCCUCUGCCACAAGCCACAAGUUUAUUCAAAGUUACAGAAGAACAGCGGGGGGGCAAUCAGACACUGCGGCUUGUGCAUGAAAACAAUUUGUAAAGAAAAGUUGAGCAAUUUUGGGGCAUUUAUUUGUACGUCUUUUAAAGCACUCUUUUUACUGAUGCUGCUCUGAAUGUAUCAGGAGCAAAUUGGCUUUUGCAACAAAAAAAAACGGAAUAUAUAGGAUCAAAAUCGGAGCUUGGUGUCGUGCAAAGCUUGAGGAUUUUGUACACCCCCCCUCCCCCCAUCUCCUGUCCAUUAUACUUCAUCAAAAGUGCAUGUUGGAAAGGCAAUUUCAGAAUCCCCACACGUUUAAAAAUAUCCUCUUUUGAGACUUUGUAGCUUGUCUGAUUCUUUUCAUGUUCCAUCCUGGGUGAUAAUGUUACAGUAUAAAGAGACAGGGAACACACAGAGAAAGAGAGAGAGAGAGAGAGAGAGAGAGAGAGAGAGAGAGAGAGAUGCGACAAAUAAAGGCACUGGAUGUUCUUGGCAGGAAAAACAGGGUUAUCACCGUGAGCGACUUUAAAAUGUUACGAAGGACUGACGUAUAUAAAACGUUAAUCAUCUAAACCUAGUGAAGCCUGUUCUACUCUACUCUAUUCCAUUUUUUUUCCAAUUCAGUAGCAUUGACAGCACAAUGCACAAAGUGCAUUAGGCAAAGCCCACAGCAAACUCAUACACCACCACGUCUUUCCAAACCACCGAGUCACUUUUCAAACAAACGAUACCUGUGACAACACCCCGCUGUUUGCCUCCAACUCCCCUUUUUCUUUCACCCCGUCCUUCUGCCUUUCUUUUCUCUUUGUAUGUGUAUGUUUGGACCAGGAAGCGGCCUUCUUAUCUGAGCACACAACCCCAGUGGACGGCGUGGCAGCCUGUGGAAGCUCAACUCUGAGUAAACUUUGCCUUAACUUUGAAGCUGGCCGUGUGAGUGCUUGUCCUCGGGGCUGCCCAGAGCACUCAGCACCGGUGGCUCUCCAAAGAGGAGGUCAAUGGGACAGGUAAACAGGAAGUCCCAGUGGAGUGAUUGACAGUCUGUUUGGACACAAAGAGAUGGAUACUGGGAGAACGCUGACUCAGUGAUAAAUCACCGCUCACUGACCGGAUUUCGAAUAGAUGCUGCAGGGCACGGAGGUGCUUCCUUUUUCUGCACCUAUUAUAAUAAUUCUCCAUUUUUUUUUAGUUGUGUGUAUUCUUCGUUUCUUCUGGUUUACUUUCAUACAUUUAUCUUCCGCCUCUUUCACAUUUUGCCUGCAGUCGCUUUCCAUUUGAUGAAUGGGGAGAUUUUUCAACCACAGGAGUCAGAUGUGAGAUAAGCCCCGCCCAUUUUUGGGAGGGAGAUCACAAAUUGCAUUUCAUAUUCGCCUCCCGGGUCAAAAAAGUCUGUGGAAGACACGAUGUGCGUGGAUCAAUAUAAUUAAUCUGGCUGAAGACAUUAACGACACAGCAGGGCCGUGAUAUAAUAAAUGUCUCUAAGUUGUUUCCCAGGGGGGGAGCUAUUUGUUUGUGACACAGCAGAGGAGGAAGUUGCUCUCUUUUUCCCAGAAUUCUCUGUCAAGUCGUCUAAAUAAGUCCAGAAUCCUUAACUUAUAUAUGACAUACAGCUAAUCUUUCCUACAGUCUACUGUCUUAUUGCCUCACUAACAGUUGAAGUCCUCCAUCGUUCCCAUGCAGCGGCGCUGAAGGUGCUCUCAGGCCAGCAGCAGCCUGGGUGGCAGACUGAGGUUUGGGGCUGCAACUUGCUCCAGCUAAUCAUGUUGAUUAUUGCGAUUAGAGACCAUUCCCCCCCCCGCCCGCCUCUAGUGUCACGCCGCAACUUGCUGACCUGGAUCUGACAGAAAGUCCCCGUUUGCCAUAGGCGAUCUGUCUUCCUGUUCUCCCCCCGUUUUAGUCCUCCACCAACUGCCUCUUGAUCCCAAAAAAACGACCCCUCUUCCCCUCCUUUCCUCCACUCAAACACAAUCGGUCCCCGAGGUAACUCAAGGACCGAGUGUUUCCUCAUCCCGUUGCCAAACAAUUAAUGACCAAGGGGUUUACUAGAAACUUGCACAUGCGCACACACACACACACACACACACACACACACACACAGUCAGUUUGGCAGUGGGAUAAAGUCUUCCCUGCUACCGUGUGGCCAGCAGGCGUGCAGAUGUUUUUUUUUCCGUGCUGCUCGCCAUGUUUAUCAGACCGCUGUGCCGUUUCAUAAUCUACAUUAUGAGCACUGAGUAGAUAACAAAGCCUUUCAUUUGGGCCCGAUUUCCCCUUGCCCCCCCCCCCAUGUUAAAUUUAGCACAGUGAUUACUGAGAGUGAUUAUGGGCCUCUGCGGCCGACGGUAAAGCCACACACACCGAGGUCUUAGAGGACGUGAGCUUGCAUGGAGAGGGCAAAGUAAUGUUCGAGGAAAUAAGAGUUUAUACAUUACCUGACCUGACCUUGCACUCAGGUUAAUUUAUGCUUAAAACCUUUGUCUGGGACUCUUCUUAUCAGUUUUACGAGUAAGUUGUUUCAGAGACUCCAUUUGUCAUAAUUUUAUUAGAUUAUAAAGCUUAACGUCUCUGUGGGGCUAUUGUCAAUUUGGCCUCACAUUUUUGCAGCUGAACAUGGCAGUGUUACUGAGGCACGGCCCUAUCAGGCCUCCUUGUUAACGGUACUGAGAUUACAACGCAAUCCCAACACCCCAGCGAUGCACAUGUUAUGGUGCUUUCUGAAAGACAAAUCAGCAAAGGGAGCAGAAUGCGUUAUAGGAGACGCUUGAACUCAUGCAUGUUUUCCAGAAAUUCCUGCACACCUGAGGUCUUAAGUGGGCCGGAACUUGCAUAGUGCACAUUGAAUGACAUAUUAGAAUAACCUUGUAACUUGUACAGAGCUCAACGCUCACCAGACUGUACUGUACUGCCCUCUAUGCAGCCCACUUCUUGCGCAGUUAAAAUAAGGCAAAAGUGAGAAGCACUCAAGUGGCAUUUCAGUGCAAGCCAUGCGUUUGUGACCAGUCAUGUUCUCACCUUUCAUUCCGUUGCUGAGCCAAUUCAAAAGUGGUGCAAAGUAUUCCUCAUGUCUUUGAAAACAUUGGAACAUAUGUCUCUAUGCCUGUGAACCACUGUUGGCAUUUCAACUGUAAUGAUUAUACCUGUGUAUUGGUGUCCUUACUUCUUUACAUUAACAAUGCAUCGAAUAGAUAUGUGUAGUGCAAAAGGUGUCACUCUUAGUGAUGAAACCACUUUUCUGAUCCCACAUGUCUGUGAUGCAUUGUGACCUAGAAUCUGGCCUAAUAUCUAUGGUGGUUCAUAACUUGAAUUAUUUUAUUCCUUGAGCAGAUUAUAACAAAUUUAAAAUAAGUUUUCAAUGUAUUAUGGCCGUGGACUUCUGGUGUUGAUCAAACAAACUGUUUCCCCAAGCUUUUAGAAAUUAAACUUUUUUCACUUCAUUAUUUUGGUAUUGCAACCCCAAACCUUUUCUUUUCCACUGCUAUCAAGUAGCAACAAAAAUAGUUAAUGCUACUGAUGCUGGGAAAGAUGCGAUGUUUACACCGCCAGCGAGGAAAGCAACCAAGCGGCCAUGUGUCGCCAUAUACAUUGUCUCGACAAUGGCUGAGUUUUGGGUUAAUGGUUAAGUGUGGUCCAAUCGCUUGGUUAGGUAGUUAAGACCUUAUAAAACCCUGAGAACUGGGUGUUUUUUUUUAGCCGGAAGGAGAGAGAGGUGGGACAAAAACAUAUGAUUUAUGUUCCAAUGAUGCAUCUAAUGAUGCAUCUUCACUGCAUCAUUGGAACGGGGAUAAAAACCUGAAAAACGUUUAACUUUAACGGGUGUCGACCGCCACGCAGUAAAGUGUCUGCCGUCACUUGCUGGCCUGAUGUCACGGGCUUCCAUUGGAAAUUAGCUGAAGGUUAAUAGAAGGCAAAAAUUAACUAAAUUAACUACACUCCAGUCUCCUGCAUGAAGGUCUGACACUCUACAUGCUCAUCCACUCCAGUGCUAACAUCACUAUGUGGUGAAAUCUGGACUCUGCAUCUAAAAGCCCUGUUUGCAUGUUGGUCACAGGUUUUGCUCCCCACACAAGAAUGUUUGGUUCACAUCCAAAAAGAUUCCUUCCGACAGAGAAAUCCUGACAAUACAGAAAACCACUUGUUUUGGACAGUGCGGGUCACAUGAGCUGGAAGCUGUUUCUGCACACAA
ensembl:lncRNA